rnacentral:rRNA from 1 species
GACGAACGCUGGCGGCGUGCCUAACACAUGCAAGUCGAACGGAAAGGCCCUGCUUGUGGGGUACUCGAGUGGCGAACGGGUGAGUAACACGUGGGUGGUCUGCCUUGCACUUCGGGAUAAGCCUGGGCAACUGGGUCUAACUCCGGACGGGAGCCAUUUUUAGUGUGAUGGUUGGAAAGUUUUUUCGGUGUCGGAUGAGCUCGCGGCCUAUCAGCUUGUUGGUGGGGUAAUGGCCUACCACGGCGGCGACGGGUAGCCGGCCUGAGAGGGUGGCCGGCCACAGUGGGACUGAGAGACGGCCCAGGCUCCGACGCGAGGGAGCAGUGGGGAAUAGUGCACGAUGGGCGCAAGCCUGAUGCUGCGACGCCGCGGGGGGGAUGACGGCGUUCGGCUUGUAAACGCCAUGCGCUAGUGACGAAGCUGUUAGUGACGGUACCUAGAGAAGAAGCACCGGCUAACUACGUG